rnacentral:rRNA from 1 species
GCCGGAAUGAGUAGCGAGAAUUAUGUGGGAAUCAUAAUGGCCGAAAAUCUAAGGUUUCUUGGGGAAGGUUCGUCCGCCCAAGGUAAGUCGGGAGCUAAGCUCAGGCCGAGAGGCGUAGGCGAUGCACAUACGGUAGAAAUUCCGUAACCACCGAAACUUAAACAGAGGGACACUUCGAAAUAGCGGAACCCGGGCGUUGGUUGACCCGGGCGAAAGGGAGCGAAAUUAGAGUAGCGAAGUCCGCGAUGUUCGGAGGCGAGAAAAGCUCUGAGGUAUGCUAAGGUGCCCGUACCGCAAACCGACACAGGUAGAUGAGGAGAGAAUCCUAAGGCCAACUGGAGAAGGGUUGUUAAGGAACUCGGCAAAUUGACCCCGUAACUUCGGAAGAAGGGGAGCCCCCUACGGGGGGUCGCAGAGAAAUGGCCCAAGCAACUGUUUACCAAAAACACAGGUCUAUGCUAAAUCGAAAGAUGACGUAUAUGGGCUGACGCCUGCCCGGUGCCGGAAGGUUAAGAGGAGAUGUCAGGCAACGAAGCAUUGAAUUUAAGCCCCGGUAAACGGCGGCCGUAACGAUAACGGUCCUAAGGCAGCGAAAUUCCUUGUCAGGUAAGUACUGACCCGCACGAAUGGCGUAAUGAUUUGGGCACUGUCUCAACAGCCCGCCCGGCGAAAUUGUAGUACUGGUGAAGAUGCCAGUUACCCGCAACUAGACGGAAAGACCCCCAUGGAGCUUUACUGCAGCUUAAUACUGAAAUUCGGUAGUACAUGUACAGGAUAGGUGGGAGACUGAGAAAUACAGGCGUCAGCUUGUAUGGAGUCGCUGUUGGGAUACCACUCUUGUACUGCUGGGUUUCUAACCUGCGGCCGUGAAUCCGGUCGGGGGACACUGUUAGGCGGGCAGUUUGACUGGGGCGGUCGCCUCCCAAAAGGUAACGGAGGCGCUCAAAGGUUCGUUCAGCACGGACGGAAAUCGUGCAAUGAGUGUAAACGCAUAAACGAGCCUAACUGCGACACCGACGGGUGGAGCAGUAACGAAAGUUGGAGUUAGUGAUCCGGUGGUAUGUGAGUGGAAAUGCCAUCGCUCAACGGAUAAAAGCUACCCUGGGAUAACAGGCUGAUCUCCCCCAAGCGUCCACAGCGACGGGGAGGUCUGGCACCUCGAUGUCGGCUCGUCGCAUCCUGGGGCUGGAUUCGGUCCCAAGGGUUUGGCUGUUCGCCAAUUAAAGCGGCACGCGAGCUGGGUUCAGAACGUCGUGAGACAGUUCGGUCCCUAUCUGUUGCGGGCGUAAGAGAUUUGAAGGGAGCUGUCCUUAGUACGAGAGGACCGGGAUGGACGUACCUCUGGUGCACCAGUUGUCCUGCCAAGGGCAUAGCUGGGUAGCUAUGUACGGACGAGAUAAACGCUGAGAGCAUCUAAGCGUGAAACUCCCCCUAAGAUGAGAUCUCUCAUCCUUCAAGGAGUAAGGACCCAGAAAGACGAUCUGGUUGAUAGGCCGAAGGUGGAAGCGCAGUAAUGUGUGCAGCUGAUCGGUACUAAUAGUCCGAGGGCUUGACCGA